UAUGGUCACACUAUGUUGAAACAUUGGUUCCUGUAUGAUCACCGAAGAUAAGCAAUGUCGAGCCUGCUCAGUACUUAGAUGGGUAACUACUUAGGAAUACCAAGGGACCGUAA